rnacentral:lncRNA from 1 species
AGUUAUAGAGAAAAUUCUAAUGCUACUUAGAUGCCAAGUUUGAUUUAUAAUGGUGGCCACUAAGGAAUUGAAGGGCCUAGAGUCAAUGAUUGUGAAUGAACUCAUGGGAUCUCUCCAAGCUUAUGAGUAAAGACUUCACAAGAAGAAGCAAGAUCCGAUAGAACAAAUCCUUCAAAGCAAGCUCUCUUUGAAAGAAGGAUAGAAAGUCCCAAGAAGCGAAAGGAGCAAUAUAGGCUGUGGCAGAGGUCG